AUUAAGGAGCUUGAAAGGCUCAAUAUGAUCAUACAUAAGGAAUUGCUUAUGGAUUUGAUCCUGCGAUCCCUGAUUAGUUUAUAUGGAUAGGUUAUUGCCAACUACCAUAUAAAAGAUCGUCAUGGCACUUUAUCUGAAUUGGUCAAAGUGUUGAUAACAUAGGAACCUUGAAAGAGUUCAGAGAUAAAUACCUGGGGAGCCUAAAAAAAUAAAGACAUGCCUAGAGUAGGCAUGUCAAGAUUGCUCAAUACUAACCUUAUGAUUUUCUCUUCUCUCAGUUGAGUUAUAGACUCUAAGGUAGAAUCGAUGGGAAGAAAGAGGGCUGAGAAAGUAACCUUUAAAUUGGCUAUAGGGCAAUAGUUACUGCUGUGGUCAUGGGUAUCUGUCCUUUACGAUCAUUGUUUGAAUUUAGUUCUUAGAGACAGUCUCUAUCAUUUGCAUGGUGAUGUAUCUGUGAACUUAAUUGAACAAGCAGUGAAUGCCAUUGAAUAUG
rnacentral:lncRNA from 1 species